rnacentral:rRNA from 1 species
UACGGAGGGUGCGAGCGUUGUCCGGAAUCAUUGGGCGUAAAGGGCGCGUAGGUGGCGGGACAAGCGUGCGGUGAAAGCCUGGGGCUCAACCCCGGGUCGGCCGUGCGAACUGUUUUGCUUGAGCACUGUAGAGGCAGGCGGAAUUCCGGGUGUAGCGGUGGAAUGCGUAGAGAUCCGGAAGAACACCGGUGGCGAAGGCGGCCUGCUGGGCAGUAGCUGACACUGAUGAGCGAAAGCCAGGGGAGCAAACGGG